CAAGGAUUCCCCUAGUAACGGCGAGCGAACCGGGAAGAGCUCAAAUUUGAAAUCUGGCGUCCUUCGGGCGUCCGAGUUGUAAUCUACAGAGGCGUUUUCCGCGCCGGUCCGCGUCCAAGUCCCUUGGAACAGGGUAUCAAAGAGGGUGACAAUCCCGUGCUUGACGUGACCGCCGGUGCUAUGCGAUACGUUCUCAAAGAGUCGAGUUGUUUGGGAAUGCAGCUCAAAACGGGUGGUAAAUUCCAUCUAAGGCUAAAUAUUGGCGAGAGACCGAUAGCGAACAAGUACCGUGAGGGAAAGAUGAAAAGCACUUUGGAAAGAGAGUUAAACAGUACGUGAAAUUGUUGAAAGGGAAACGAUUGAAGUCAGUCGUGUCCUUGGGGUUCAGCCGGUUCACGCCGGUGUAUUCCUCUUGGACGGGUCAACAUCGGUUCUGGCCGGCGGAAAAGGGCGCGGGGAAUGUGGCACCUCCGGGUGUGUUAUAGCCCCGUGUCGCAUACGUCGGACGGGACCGAGGAACGCAGCUCGCCCUCACGGGCCGGGAUUUAUCCACGUACGAGCUUAGGAUGUUGACAAAAUGGCUUUAAACGA
rnacentral:rRNA from 1 species